UAAUACGGAGGGGGCGAGUGUUGUUCGGAAUUACUGGGCGUAAAGGGCGCGCAGGCGGCCUGGCAAGUCGAGUGUGAAAUCCCUUGGCUUAACUGAGGAAUGGCGCUCGAAACUACCUCGCUGGAGGGCGGGAGAGGGAAGUGGAACUCUCGGUGUAGGGGUGAAAUCUGUAGAUAUCGAGAGGAACACCGGUGGCGAAGGCGGCUUCCUGGCCCGUACCUGACGCUGAGGCGCGAAAGCGUGGGGAGCAAACAGGAUUAGAUACCCCGGUAGUCCUAGCCGUAAACGAUGGACACUAGGUGUUGGUGGUAUCAACCCCGCCAGUGCCGAAGCUAACGCAUUAAGUGUCCCGCCUGGGGAGUACGGCCGCAAGGCUA
rnacentral:rRNA from 1 species